rnacentral:rRNA from 1 species
GACGAACGCUGGCGGCGUGCUUAACACAUGCAAGUCGAACGGAAAGGCCCUGCUUUUGUGGGGUGCUCGAGUGGCGAACGGGUGAGUAACACGUGAGUAACCUGCCCUUGACUUUGGGAUAACUUCAGGAAACUGGGGCUAAUACCGGAUAGGAGCUCCUGCUGCAUGGUGGGGGUUGGAAAGUUUCGGCGGUUGGGGAUGGACUCGCGGCUUAUCAGCUUGUUUGUGGGGUAGUGGCUUACCAAGGCUUUGACGGGUAGCCGGCCUGGGAGGGUGACCGGCCACAUUGGGCCUGAGGUACGGCCCAGACUCCUACGGGAGGCAGCAGUGGGGAAUAUUGCAGAAUGGGCGGAAGCCUGAUGCAGCAACGCCGCGUGCGGGAUGACGGCCUUCGGGUUGUAAACCGCUUUCGCCUGUGACGAAGCGUGAGUGACGGUAAUGGGUAAAGAAGCACCGGCUAACUACGUG